rnacentral:rRNA from 1 species
GAUGAACGCUGACAGAAUGCUUAACACAUGCAAGUCGAUGGGGAAGUGGUGCUUGCACCAUGGUAACCAUGGCGGACGGGUGAGUAACGCGUAAGGAACUUGCCUGCGGGACUGGGAUAACAGCAGGAAACUGCUGAUAAUACCGGAUAAGGUCAUUAAGCUGCAUAGCUUAGUGAUGAAAGGAGACGCCUGCGGAGAGCCUUGCGUCCUAUUAGCUAGUUGGAGGGGUAACGGCCCACCAAGGCGAAGAUAGGUAGCCGGCCUGAGAGGGUGGACGGCCACAAGGGGACUGAGAUACGGCCCUUACUCCUACGGGAGGCAGCAGUGGGGAAUAUCGGACAAUGGGGGCAACCCUGAUCCAGCAAUUCUGUGUGCACGAAGACGGUUUUCGGAUUGUAAAGUGCUUUCAGCAGGGAAGAAGGAAGUGACGGUACCUGCAGAAGAAGCGACGGCUAAAUACGUG